AUGAACGCUGGCGGCGUGCCUAAUACAUGCAAGUCGAGCGAACGGACGAGAAGCUUGCUUCUCUGAUGUUAGCGGCGGACGGGUGAGUAACACGUGGAUAACCUACCUAUAAGACUGGGAUAACUUCGGGAAACCGGAGCUAAUACCGGACGAUAUUUUGAACCGCAUGGUUCAAAAGUGAAAGACGGUCUUGCUGUCACUUAUAGAUGGAUCCGCGCUGCAUUAGCUAGUUGGUAAGGUAACGGCUUACCAAGGCAACGAUGCAUAGCCGACCUGAGAGGGUGAUCGGCCACACUGGAACUGAGACACGGUCCAGACUCCUACGGGAGGCAUCAGGAGGGAAUCUUCCGCAAUGGGCGAAAGCCUGACGUAGCAACGCCGCGUGAGUGAUGAAGGUCUUCGGAUCGUAAAACUCUGUUAUUAGGGAAGAACAUAUGUGUAAGUAACUGUGCACAUCUUGACGGUACCUAAUCAGAAAGCCACGGCUAACUACGUG
rnacentral:rRNA from 1 species